rnacentral:rRNA from 1 species
UUUAUCGGAGAGUUUGAUCCUGGCUCAGGACGAACGCUGGCGGCGUGCCUAAUACAUGCAAGUCGAGCGGACAGAUGGGAGCUUGCUCCCUGAUGUUAGCGGCGGACGGGUGAGUAACACGUGGGUAAC